rnacentral:lncRNA from 1 species
AUGCAAUUUAGAAGAAUUGUGCCACGUCAUCUGCCCGGUCAGCAGCCCCGGCCAACCAGAACGCGUUGUGUGGUAGAGACACUGAUGCGGGAGGCCACGCGAAAGGGAGCCACGCAGGCGAUCUGCAUGCGCGCAAUCGAACGGCUGAGAUCCGUUCCCGCAUGCACGGAUAGCCCAUAUCAAAAGCGCGCACGGACGGCCCAGAUUGAAUCGCGCAUGGACGGCCCAGAUUGCAUCGCAAAAAAACGACCCAUAUUCAUUUCAUUUUUAAUCACGAUCGGAUAGUCCAAAUUAAAUUGCGAUGGACAGCUCAGAUUAAAAGCAAAAGGU